CCUACGGGAGGCAGCAGUAGGGAAUAUUGCUCAAUGGGGGAAACCCUGAAGCAGCAACGCCGCGUGGAGGAUGAAGGUUUUAGGAUUGUAAACUCCUUUUGUUAGAGAAGAUUAUGACGGUAUCUAACGAAUAAGCACCGGCUAACUCCGUGCCAGCUGCCGCGGUAAUACGGAGGAUGCGAGCGUUAUCCGGAUUCAUUGGGCUUAAAGGGAGCGUAGGGGGGCGGUCAAGUCAGCUGGAAAAUCGCGCGGUUCAACCGCGCACCGCAGUUGAAACUGGACGCCUUGAGUUCACAACAGGCAGGCGGAAUUCGUGGGGUAGCGGUGAAAUGCAUAGAUAUCACGAGGAACCCCGAUUGCGAAGGCAGCCUGCCGGGGUGCGACUGACGCUGAGGCUCGAAGGUGCGGGUAUCAAACAGGAUUAGAUACCCGAGUAGUC
rnacentral:rRNA from 1 species